CGUAUUGCAAACGAAAAUGUUAUUUCUGUUGAAUAAACAAGUCUCUAAUAAAUUGUCUUUGUACUAUGUUAAUAAAAUAUAAAAUAACUUGAAAUAUAUCCUUUUAUUAUGUAUUUCAAAUACACUGAUUAUCUUUUUUAUGUACUGCUUAUAAUGAUACAAACAGUUCAAAGAGUUUCAGGAAAAGCGUUCAUCGAAAAUGAACCAGUGACCACUCCAGAACUGCAAAUAUUUCCAAUGGGCUUCGAUGAAGUUUUUAAUGAUGCUACUAAUGUGCUUGGUAAUGUUGUAAGGAAAAUCAUAUCAAAGAAACGUUUACUUGGACUAGAUUCUAAUUGGUACUGGUAAAUUACGUUUGACUAACUAAAAUAAAGAGA